UUGACUCCACUAUCCACAUUUAAUGCCACGUGGCCCAUAAACGAAGGAUUGGAAGAAUAAAUAAUACCACCACCACCAUCAGUUAAUUAUUUAUUUCUCAUCUCAACUACCAUCAAUCAAUUAUACAAGAUCUAUGUUUAGAUCGAUAUGUAGAUCUAAAGAUACAUGGUUUAUAUGUACAUAUAUGUGAAAAGAGGUUUUUGUGGUGAUGGUAUGAUGUUGUUGUCGGCGGAAUGGAAGGAGGUGGGGAGAGAGUGAGAGAGAAAAAAAAAAACUGAGUGUCGCCGGAAUCUACAGUGGCUGCUGCCGUUGAAGCCCACCCCUAAAUUCAACCACCGUCCACCACUACUUGAAACUUAGAAAAAGAAAAUUGGAAAUCUUGUGAUAUAGCGCUCGCUUGCUCUUUAUUUUUCUGUCAGCAACAAUUUCUUUUGUUAUCAUUUCCCUACAAUCUUGUGAUCUCCUUUUUUUUCUCAGAUUGUUCCUCACCACAUAUAUGUAUAUUAGUAUAUCUUUACUUAUAUUUGUUUGUGUAUCUGGUUGUUAAUUUUGUUGUUGUAAAAGAAUGGUAAAAAAAAUCAUUUAUAGAUCUUGAUGUAAUUACUUGAA